GCAAAUGACAAAUGGUUUUGCUGUAAAGUUACACAUUUCAACAAGGAUAAACAAAUUAGUGUAUUGUUUUGUCGGAGGCUGACCUUAAGUAAAUAGGUUCACUUUUUUUUGUUAUUGAAAUAUAUAUGAUUUUCUGUCAAAGAUCAGCAAGUAAAGGCGGAAUGGAUUAUAUCACUUGGAGUUAUUAUGCAUUAUCUGUUUUGUGGAUGCUAAUCUGGUUACCUGAUUGUAACGCUGGAAACCAUACAGAGUAUAAGCAACCAGAUGUCGACGGUGAACGAGACAAAGCGAGAAUUAUGGGAGUUUGUGUAGGUGUAGGCCUAGCUAUGAUGUUUCUGGUCAUGUUGUGUAUUAGCUAUAACUAUUAUAAACAUAAAACACCGCCACCUGUAGAAGAAACAUGUGCAGAACCAGAGCUACCAAAGAAAAAAGUUUUUGCAUCAAACGAUCGGGUCAUGCCAGUACAGAAAAAAGAAGAAAACAUUACACAAGAUACACGUUUUUAGUCUAGAGUUUUUUCGCCAAUAAUGCUAUUCAUUAUUCUGUAAAUUGCUUAUAUGUUAUUUCAAUUUUUUUAUUUGUAUUAAACAUGAGAUAUA